UAUCAUGUUUGUAAGUCUUCUGUU
rnacentral:siRNA from 1 species